ensembl:misc_RNA 7SK 7SK RNA
GGAUAUGAGGAUGAUUUGGCUGUGACCCCAUUGAUUGUCAGGGUUGAUUAGGCUGAUCUGGCUGGCUGGAUAGGUGUUCCCUUCCUCCCUCAUUGCUCCAUGUGUGUCCCUCCAGAAGCUGCACAUUCAGUUGAAGACGACGAUCAUCCCCGAUGGAGGAGGACCAUUCUUUGGUCAAGGAUGUGAGUAGCUGCACUCUUCUGCUACUCUCUCUCUCUCAAGGUCCAUUUGUUGGAGAAUGUAGGAGAGACAAGCUUCUAAGAUUCCAGACACAUCCAAAUGAAAUGCAGCAUGUAGCAGACUGCCUUCCUUA